rnacentral:rRNA from 1 species
GAUGAACGCUAGCGGGAGGCUUAACACAUGCAAGUCGAGGGGUAUUGUAGCAAUACAUUAGACCGGCGCACGGGUGAGUAACGCGUAUGCAACCUGCCGUUAACCGGGGGAUAGCCCGUCGAAAGGCGGAUUAAUACCCCAUAAUAUUGGGAUUCUGCAUGGGAUUUCAAUUAAAGCUGAGGUGGUUAACGAUGGGCAUGCGUGACAUUAGCUAGUUGGUAGGGUAACGGCCUACCAAGGCUACGAUGUCUAGGGGUUCUGAGAGGAAGGUCCCCCACACUGGUACUGAGACACGGACCAGACUCCUACGGGAGGCAGCAGUGAGGAAUAUUGGUCAAUGGGCGAGAGCCUGAACCAGCCAUCCCGCGUGCAGGAAGACGGCCCUAUGGGUUGUAAACUGCUUUUGCGCAUGAAGAAUGUUACCGACGUGUCGGUAAGUGACGGUAAUGCGUGAAUAAGCACCGGCUAACUACGUGCCAGCCGCCGCCGUAAGAC